UUGAACGCUGGCGGCAUGCUUUACACAUGCAAGUCGAACGGCAGCGGGGGCUUCGGCCUGCCGGCGAGUGGCGAACGGGUGAGUAAUGCAUCGGAACGUACCCAGUCGUGGGGGAUAACUACGCGAAAGCGUGGCUAAUACCGCAUACGAUCUACGGAUGAAAGCAGGGGACCGCAAGGCCUUGCGCGGACGGAGCGGCCGAUGGCAGAUUAGGUAGUUGGUGGGAUAAAAGCUUACCAAGCCGACGAUCUGUAGCUGGUCUGAGAGGACGACCAGCCACACUGGGACUGAGACACGGCCCAGACUCCUACGGGAGGCAGCAGUGGGGAAUUUUGGACAAUGGGCGCAAGCCUGAUCCAGCCAUGCCGCGUGCAGGAUGAAGGCCUUCGGGUUGUAAACUGCUUUUGUACGGAACGAAAAGACUCCUUCUAAUAAAGGGGGUCCAUGACGGUACCGUAAGAAUAAGCACCGGCUCACUACGU
rnacentral:rRNA from 1 species